AUAAGUGGUAGGGGAGAUACCAUGAUCAUGAAGGUGUUUUUCCUCAGGGCAAGGCUUAUCCAUUGCACUCCGAUUGUGCUGACCCCUGCGAUUUUCCCAAAUUUGGGAAACUCGACUGCAUAAUUUGUGGUAGUAGGGGACUGCAUUUGUGCUCUCCCCUU
ensembl:snRNA U1 U1 spliceosomal RNA